UACGGAGGGUGCAAGCGUUGUCCGGAUUUAUUGGGUUUAAAGGGUGCGUAGGCGGUUUUUUAAGUCAGCGGUGAAAGCCUCCAGCUUAACUGGAGAAAUGCCAUUGAUACUGGGAAACUUGAGUACAGACGAGGUAGGCGGAAUUGACAGUGUAGCGGUGAAAUGCAUAGAUAUUGUCAAGAACACCGAUUGCGAAGGCAGCUUACUAGACUGUAACUGACGCUGAGGCACGAAAGUGUGGGGAGUCAA
rnacentral:rRNA from 1 species